GCCCAGAUGGCGGAAUUGGUAGACGCGCUAGGUUCAGGUCCUAGUAAUCGAAAGAUUGUGCAAGUUCGAGUCUUGUUCUGGGCA
rnacentral:tRNA from 1 species